UACGUAGGGUGCAGGCGUUAAUCGGAAUUACUGGGCGUAAAGCGUGCGCAGGCGGUUUGCUAAGACAGGUGUGAAAUCCCCGGGCUUAACCUGGGAACUGCGCUUGUAACUGGCAAGCUUGAGUGUGGCAGAGGGGGGUGGAAUUCCACGUGUAGCAGUGAAAUGCGUAGAGAUGUGGAGGAACACCGAUGGCGAAGGCAGCCCCUGGGCUAACACUGACGCCUCAUGCACGAAAGCGUGGGGAGCAAACAGG
rnacentral:rRNA from 1 species